rnacentral:rRNA from 1 species
UACGGAGGGGGCUAGCGUUGUUCGGAAUUACUGGGCGUAAAGCGCACGUAGGCGCUUUUGCAAGUCAGAGGUGAAAGCCCGGGGCUCAACCCCGGAAUUGCCUUUGAGACUGCAUCGCUAGAAUUGUGGAGAGGUAAGUGGAAUUCCGAGUGUAGAGGUGAAAUUCGUAGAUAUUCGGAAGAACACCAGUGGCGAAGGCGACUUACUGGACACAUAUUGACGCUGAGGUGCGAAAGCGUGGGGAGCAAACAGGG